UACAGAGGGUGCGAGCGUUAAUCGGAGUGACUGGGCGUAAAGGGCAUGUAGGCGGUUAUGUUAGUCUGAUGUAAAAUACCCGGGCUUAACCUGGGAUAUGCGUUGGAAACGGCAUAGCUAGAGUAUGGGAGAGGGAAGUGGAAUUUCCGGUGUAGCGGUGAAAUGCGUAGAGAUCGGAAAGAACACUCGUGGCGAAGGCGGCUUUCUGGCCCAUAACUGACGCUGAGGUGCGAAAGCAUGGGGAGCAAAC
rnacentral:rRNA from 1 species